GUGAGUCAUCGAGUCUUUGAACGCACAUUGCACUCCUUGGUAUUCCGAGGAGUAUGCCUGUUUCAGUAUCAUGAGCACUCUCACACCUAACCUUUGGGUUUAUGGCGUGGAAUUGGAAUGCGCCGACUGUCAUGGUUGGCCCUUCUAAAAUGUAGUUCUUGGCUGUCACCUAAUACAGCAGUUUGGCCUAAUAGUUUUGGCAUUCAUUGUCAAAUCUUUGGCUAACAUUUUGCCUCCAGGAGUCGAGUCUUGAUAAUAACAGAAAACUUCAAUUUCAAAUUUGAUCUAAGUAAAGUUCAGGGUAGGCUACCCCGCUGAAACUUUAAGCAUAUCAAUAAGCGGAGG
rnacentral:rRNA from 1 species